rnacentral:tRNA from 1 species
AGCGGGGUGGAGCAGUCUGAUAGCUCGUCGGGCUCAUAACCCGAAGGCCGCAGGUUUGAAUCCUGCCCCCGCCACCA